rnacentral:rRNA from 1 species
AGUUUGAGCUAAAUAUAAUAUAAAUAUUAGCUUAUCUAUAAAAGGUGUAGUAAUACCUUUUUAAUAAUUAUAUUUAGGGGUGAUAGGCUUAUCAAAAACUAAGAUAUCUUGAAUCUAAAUAAAAGUAUGUAGUACUAAUUUCAACACGACUAUAAAGUGAUUAGGCUUUAUAGAACAUAUUAAUUCUUUAUAAAAAUUAAUUAAUUAUAAUUUAAUAAUUAAAUAUUUUAAUAUAUUAAUAUUUAUAUAUUGUAAUUAUAUUAAAGUAUUUAGAUAGUUUUAAAAAGUCUUAUAUAAACUAUAUAAUGUUUAUAUUAGUAUUUAAAGUUUAUAUGUUUACAUAAUGAACUCGGCAAUAAUGCUUUUCAACUGUUUAUCAAAAACAUAACUAUAUGAAUAAAUAUAUAUAGCAAUUUCUGCUCAAUGAUUUAGAUUAAAUAGCCGCAGUAUUCUGACUGUGCAAAGGUAGCAUAAUCAAUUGACUUAUAAUUGAAGUCUAGAAUGAAUGAAAUUAAUGGAAAGCCACUAUAUCUUUUGUAAAUAUACAUAAAUUAUUUAUGAAGUGAAAAUACUUCUAUAAAAAUAAUAGACGAGAAGCCCCUAGAAAUUUUUAGAAAUUUAAAUUUUUUUUUAAAAUUUUUUUGUUGGGGCGACAAGGAAGCAAUCAUAACCUUCUUAUUAACAACUUGCACUUUUUUUGUUGUAUGAAAAAAUUACUCUAGGGAUAACAGCAUAAUAUUUAAAAGUUUAUGACCUCGAUGUUGGACUAGGAAAUAAUAACUUAAAAGGUUUUUUAUAUGCUCUGUUCGGCAUUAACUCCUACAUGAUC